rnacentral:rRNA from 1 species
UACGGGGGGGCAAGCGUUGUUCGGAAUUACUGGGCGUAAAGGGUUCGUAGGUGGCCCGCUAAGUCAGACGUGAAAUCCCUCGGCUUAACCGGGGAACUGCGUCUGAUACUGGAUGGCUUGAGGUUGGGAGAGGGAUGCGGAAUUCCAGGUGUAGCGGUGAAAUGCGUAGAUAUCUGGAGGAACACCGGUGGCGAAGGCGGGUCUCUGGGCCGAUACUGACGCUGAGGAGCGAAAGCGUGGGGAGCGAACAGG